GCAGUCCCGGAACGCGGGAUGCUGGGCGCGCAGCCUCGCCGUCCGCCUCGCCACUCGCCCGCCGCCCCGCGCGUCUGGGAUACUCAGCGUUUCAGAACAGGUGUUUUUGGAAAAAAAUCCACAAUUUGGAUGUGAGAAAGGACAUGAGGAGACCAAAGACCUGGGAUUUUGCUGAUCAGAAUGAAACAAACGUUGAAAGACUUUUCCAAUCUACUGUUGGUGGUGCUCUGUGACUAUGUUCUUGGAGAAGCUGAGUAUCUCCUGUUGGGGGAGCCGGGCCAUGUAGCGCUAAGCAACAGCACAGUGACUGUGGCUUUCCAGUAUUUCGACGGAACCAACGGGACGCUGAGGAAUGUCUCUGUCCUGCUGUUGGAGGCCAACACCAAUCAGACUCUUACCACCAAAUACCUCCUGACCAACCAGUCCCAGGGGACGCUCGAGUUUGAGUGCUUCUACUUCCGGGAGGCUGGCGACUACUGGUUCACGAUGUCUCCAGAGGCGACAAACAGCAGCGCUCCGGCCCCUCGCUGGGAGAGGAGCGCCUUUCUGAAGGUGGAAUGGCCCGACUUCCACGUCCACCUCAACAGGACCUCCAGGGCUGCAGAAGGCACCUUUCAGGUGGGCCUGUUCACCAGUCAGCCGCUGUGCCCGUUCCCUGUGGACAAGCCCGACAUCGUGGUGGAUGUUAUCUUCACCAACAGCCUUCCCGAGGCCAGCACGAGCCAGGGCCAGCCCCUGGAGAUACGAGCCAGCAAGAGGGCAGAGCUCUCGCAAGGCCAGUGGCUGGAGUUUGGCUGCGCACCUGUGGGGCCGGAAGCCUAUGUCACCGUGGUGCUGAAGCUGCUUGGCCGAGACUCGGUCAUUAGCUCCACAGGCCCCAUUGACCUGGCCCAGAAAUUUGGAUACAAACUGGUGAUGGCGCCAGAACUCACGUGUGAGUCCAGGGUGGAGGUGAUGGUGCUGCCCCCGCCAUGCAUCUUCGUCCAGGGGGUCGUCGCCGUCUACAAGGAAGCCCCCAGACGCCCUGGGGAAGGGACCCCUCGCCUGGCUGAAAACAGCCUGAGCCUGGGAGAGAGGAGAACAGUAUUCAACUGCACUUUGUUUGAUGUGGGGAGGCACAAAUACUGCUUUGACUUUGGCGUUUCAAGCAGAAGCCAGUUUUCUGCAAAGGAGAAGGAGUGCAUGCUAAUUCAGAGAACUAUAGAAACUUGGGGACUGUGGCAGCCGUGGAGCCAGUGUAGCGCCUCGUGUGGGGACGGUGUCAGAGAGCGUCGCCGCCUGUGCCUGAGCUCCUUCCCCUCCCGCCCUGGCUGCCCCGGAGUGUCCUCGGAGGCCUCCCCGUGUUCCCUGGAGGACUGCGCUGCUUUCCAGACAUCCAGCCCGUCUCCUCUCCAGCCCCAGGGUCCGGCGAAGUCCAACAACAUCGUCACGGUCACGGGCAUAUCCCUGUGCCUGUUCAUCAUUGUGGCCACCGUGCUCAUCACGCUGUGGCGGAAGCUGGGCCGCUCCCCCACGUGCAGCACCCCCGCCCGGCCCAACUCCCUCCACGGUCCCGGCUGCCGGAAGAACUCGGACGAGGAGAACAUCUGCGAGCUGGGCGAGCCGCGCGGCAGCUUCUCGGACGCGGGGGACGGGCCGGCGGGGAGCCCCGGGAGCCCCGGGGACCUGGGCAUCCCGCUGACCUACCGGCGGAGCGCGCCGGCGGCCCCGGACGAGGACGCCUCCGGCAGCGAGAGCUUCCAGUCCACCGCCCAGAAGAUCAUCCCGCCCCUGUUCAGCUACCGCCUGGCCCAGCAGCAGCUGAAGGAGAUGAAGAAGAAAGGCCUGACGGAGACCACCAAGGUGUACCACGUGUCCCAGAGUCCCCUGACGGACACCGCCAUCGACGCCGCCGCCGCCGCCACUGCCGCCGCCCCCCGGGACCCGGAGGUCCCUGAGGACGCCGCGGCCGCCAAGUUCCGGAUCAAGGCCCCGUUCCUGGAGCAGCCGCCCGCGCCGGGCGCCGGGGACCGGCCGCCCUCCCGGCUGGACCUCCCGCUUGUGCAGGCCGCCGUCAGCCCCAGCCAGACCGUUAUCCGCAAGUCCCAGGCGAGGCACGCGGGCGGCAGGGGGGCGCCGCCGGACAGGGGCCACCCCCGGGGAUCCCACUUCCGGAGAACAGCGAGUUUCCACGAAGCCAAGCAGGCCCGGCCCUUCCGGGAGCGCAGCCUGUCCGCCUUGACCCCCCGGCAGGCCCCCGCCUACGCCUCCAGGACCCGGACCUGGGAUCAGGCGGAAGACCGAGUCCGGCCGCAGAGUCGAGGCGCUGCCCCGUUUCCAGAGAAACCCGACCAUUGCCAAGGGGCAGGUGGGACCAGCGGUCUGCUGAGCCCUCUGCCCAAACCCCACGCCUCGGGGCAGCCGACCAGGAAACCAGACCUGGGGGAUCGCCAGGUAGGAUUCGUGGCAGGAGGUGAGAGAACAGAGCCCCACCGGGCUCGGAGGGGACCAUCCCCCAGUCACAGAAGUGUCUCAAGGAAGCAGCCAUCCCCCACGGCCCCCAAAGAGAGCUACCAGAGGGUCAGCCCCCUGAGCCCUUCCCAGAGUAGAAAAGACAAGUGUCAGAGCUUUCCCGCCCACCCCGAGUUCGCCUUCUAUGACAAUACGUCAUUUGGCCUCACUGAGUCCGAGCAGAGGAUGCUGGACCUGCCAGGAUAUUUUGGGUCAAAUGAAGAGGAUGAAACCACAAGCACGCUGAGUGUGGAGAAGUUGGUCAUCUAGAGACAGCUCAGCCCGAGACUUCACACAACUGGGGUCCUUUGGCCAGCUCCGAGUAUCAGCCGCUUCCACUGAUCCGUGGACUGUGAGUGUAACUGUACAGCAGGACAGAAUGAGUGGUAACUCACUUGAGUGUGGGGUGUGGUUUUAUUCAUAAGGAAGAAAGUAUUUAUCUUGAACUUUUCCCUGUGUUAUCCCGUUUCUAUUGGCUUAUCUCUAAUAACUAUGAUAAUAAAAUUUAAAC
rnacentral:lncRNA from 1 species